UUUGCAGUGUCAGCUAUGGGCC
rnacentral:miRNA from 1 species